ensembl:lncRNA
CCUUAAUAGGCAGACAGAAGCACUCAGCAGUUUGUAGAAACUCCAGUCCAUAGUCAGGGAUGUAAAGAAAAUGAAAACUGGAAAACUGCAAGCUUUUGAAAUGCAGGUGUGAAUAUGAAGUCUGAAGGACAGCCUGAGGCUUGGUAUCUUGAGCCCAGUUUUGAGGCUUGUUUUCCAUGGGCUCAGGAGUUAGUAAUUUAGGAGGUUCCUAUUCAGAAACUCAAACUGGGAGUGGACUGAUGAGGAGAACUGGAAAUGCUGCUCUAGGCCAGCUAAAGGUAUUCAUCUAAAAUGUCUAGGAGAGGAGUGGAUGAGGGUACACGUAAACAGGGGUACUGAGAGUCCUGAGGCAUGCAGUACUACCUCAUCAGCAGUGCUAAUCACUGCCUUUACUGCUCUGCCUUCAAAUCCCCUCACAGCAUCCAAUGCCACCUCUACAAAGCUUGUUGUAAACAUGUUCCUCCAAAACUCUGGUAUCUGCCAAGAUCGCACAAGAAUAGUCACACUAAUGGUUCAUUAUAAAGCUCUAAUAUGUAUUUGAUGACAACACUUUUUCUGCAAUGUCCAUUGGUGUUUUAAUAGCUUUAAUAAUAGCACAUAGUAAUGGCAUUACUACUUGCCUGUGUAACACCCACCUUCACUAUGUUAUGCCAGCAAUAACUAAUGAACGCACAUUUUAGGAAAUUCAUCCACCUAGGUAUGGCUUCUCAGAGUAGGGUUUUAACCCCAGGGAAAAGAGAUGUGAGUUCAGGGUAGGUAAGAGAGAGGUUUGAUGUUCUUUUGGAGUCAUAUAUCAGCUUCCAGAUUGUGCUGAUGCAGAAAGCAGCUUAAAAAAAAUAUAGUUCCACCUGGGCUAUUCCUGUGCCUGCUGCUCCAGACUCAGCCAAGAACAGAAGACUUGCUGCACAAGCCAAGCUGCCAAGAGGAUGAAGGAUCAGAAACGUGGUGUUUUGAUGGGUUGUUCGUAAGUCCUAGCUGCAGAAAUCCUCAAAAAUCAGAAGAACAGAAGUCUAUGACAAUAGUUAAUAAGUCACUUCGAAACACUGAGGAAUUCACAUAUAGCUGAGACUUGGUUUUCUGCAGGGAGACAGUACGGUGUACUAUGUGAAAACUCAUCAGAAAGGAUGAACAGCAAAAGCUGGAAGAUGAUGUUGUUGUUCUUGCAAGGAGACAGCCAGCAGAACAACCAGCCUUACAGCCUGCCUUGCUGCCCUAGAAAAAUGGAGAGAAGGGACAGGGUACUCCUGCCAGCACAGCAGCUCUGCCCCAUACCCCAGCCUCUGUCUGGGAACAGCAAGUGCUUCUGGCCUUCCAGGAGCACUGCCAAGAGGGCAGCUGCAGCAGUAUUGCCCAGCGGGGCCUAGUUUGCUCUGCUGUGCCUCCAAGCAGCUAGGAAAGGCAGGGAAGCCUUCAGGUCUCCACAGAGCCCAUCUCCUGCCCUCUGUGAGCAGAGACCUUCCUGCUCAGCACCAUCACUGAGCACCGCGCUUGGAUUUCACAGAGAAUCAGAGCUGCAAGAAAAUCCUGCCAGAGGGCAGCAAAACCCUACAAUUAUUUGUUCUUGAAUCGCAGCAUGCAGUUUUGAACUGCAGUAUUAAGUCUGCCCUGUGAGUGCUGUGCCACCUCCUGCCCUUCAGCUCCCAGGAUGCAUCCCAGGUUUCAGUGAGGCCUUCCCACACAGGGCCUGUGCGCUUUGAUUUUCGCAGGCAAAGUCACAGCAAGCAGAAGAAACAUCUGCCGUGGGGGACUUUAACGGAAAGAUAUUUGUGGCUGCUGCAUUGUUAAGGAGGAAGCCAUUGCCAUUUCAUAUUCCUGUGUGAGCACAUGGUAGGCUUCUGACCCCAGACUGCUGGCAGCAUUCAGCCACCACAGACACACACACACUCCAGAAGGGGCAGGUGCUCCAGUCACUGUUUUCAGCAUGUAGGAAGGAAGCCCCAUGCCCAGGAUCUUCUCAGCAUUUCUCCCUUCAUCCAGGCUUUUCAGAUCUGCUUUUACGUGUCCAGAAUGACAUCACACACUGAAACAUUCUUCUGUAUCUAUCCUAACUGACAAAAAGCAGGAUGAGUGUACCCAAUUAUACCCCUUCUGCUGAUAUUUUCUUCUGUAAACUAUGCCAGUACAGAGGCCGCCCAUCCUGGUGUCCAGCUGUGUGCCCAGUGAGCAGCCACUCCCAGCAGAGAGCAGAAAGUGGGAGAUAUAUGUCUUUGUUGGACAGCACGCAGCUCUUGCUAGGACUAGUGAAACUGCCUUAAAAUAGAUGGUUCAGAACUGGAUGGUGUAUGAAACCUUCCUUGUUUUUUGGCUUGCUUUCUGAGGCAUUUCUUGCGAUAAGAAUCUGACUUAGAUGAGAGAUGGGUGUUGCCGUGUGGCAAUCGACAUCACUGCGUGGACAAUUUUACGUUUGAAAGCACCUUCCUCCAAAGCUGCUUGCCUCUGGAAGAGAGUGCUCAGGAGUGGUUACUGGCAGAAGAUGUGGCCUGUGACUAAAUAGCCCCAGCUUGGUAUAGGAAAACUGGGAAAUGGUACCAUCGUGCCCUGUGAAAAACAGGAUGCAGAUGGACAUCCCUGCUCCCUCUUAUCUGCUGGCAAGGCCCGGAAGAUGAUGACAAAGCAGUUUCUGUGCCAGAUCCCAGAGCCAGUAGCUGCCACUCCAAGGAGAGCUGACUCAAUCACUUCGGAUUCGAACUGUCACUCAAAAGAGAGCUGACUCGACCACUUUGGACUUACAAAUAAGUUUUUACUGCCAUUGCAAUCGUCGUCAUCGUUGUCGUCUUGUUAUUGUCAUCAUCGUCACCAUGGACACCGUUAUCAACAGAACAACAAUACCCGAAGACCCACCACUACUGAAGAUCAAUGACUGAAGUACAAACCACAUUGGACCAUGGUGGUGACUAUCUCCC